rnacentral:lncRNA from 10 species
AGGAGUCGAAGGCUCAGGAUGAGGCUUUCCUGACUUUCUCCCCUAGAGGACUGAUGUUCUCUACUGGUACAGACCUUGUUUUAUUCAUCCUUAUGUCCCUAACCUGGAAUGGGCCCAGGGUGACAGUUAUAAUAAGUGUUUGUCAAGUGAGCAAGUGUGUGGAGUGUGCAUUGUAGAGAGUAAGGUCUCUACAGGAUCCUGCUGGAGAGGCAGCCCACUGGGCUCACCACUUCUCCAGAGGAGGGACUGGUCCCUUGCCAGACAGCCCUGCCAGCUGGAGCAGGCUUCCUCAGGGGUGCCUGGAGCUGUUGACCAUGGCUGUUGCCCUCUGGCCCCUCUUGGGAAGAGCAACCUGUCAGGUGUUAAAGACGGUCUUCAUUUCUCUUCUCCAAGUAAACAUGACUAGUUUCCAUCUCACCAUCUUCUGGCCCUCAGCAGACUGGUUAUCCAGUCUGGAGAGGCAACAGUAGUAUCCAGAUGUGAUCCGAACAGACAGAACGAUGGAUGCAGACGGAAAAUUCAGAUCACCUCUGCAGCCUGCACAGCCGGGCCUUUGGACUCCUGGAUGCUAGAGUGACCUGGGCGCUGAGGAGGGCCCCCGAGCCAGUACCAGGAAAGGAUAGACUCCUGCUUGCAGCAUUCCCAGCAGAGGCAUCGCCUGUGGACACCGCGUCUGUGUCUGUAUAUGGCAGAGCUCCCAGAUAUAUGCACAAGGGAGUGAAAAAAUGUGUUUGCACCCCAGUCUCUAAAAAUUCAACAGCCUGGUUACUUCUGGGUGGUAUAUCGUAGGUGGCUUUAAUACGUGUUAUUUGCUCAUCUGUAUUUCUUACUCUUUGCACAAUUAAACCAUGUUCCUUUUACUUAUGU